rnacentral:rRNA from 1 species
AUUGAACGCUGGCGGCAUGCCUUACACAUGCAAGUCGAACGGCAGCGCGGACUUCGGUCUGGCGGCGAGUGGCGAACGGGUGAGUAAUACAUCGGAACGUACCCUGUUGUGGGGGAUAACUAGUCGAAAGAUUAGCUAAUACCGCAUACGACCUGAGGGUGAAAGUGGGGACCGCAAGGCCUCACGCAGCAGGAGCGGCCGAUGUCUGAUUAGCUAGUUGGUGGGGUAAAGGCCCACCAAGGCGACGAUCAGUAGCUAGUCUGAGAGGACGAUCAGCCACACUGGGACUGAGACACGGCCCAGACUCCUACGGGAGGCAGCAGUGGGGAAUUUUGGACAAUGGGGGCAACCCUGAUCCAGCAAUGCCGCGUGUGUGAAGAAGGCCUUCGGGUUGUAAAGCACUUUUGUCCGGAAAGAAAUCGCGCUGGUUAAUACCUGGCGUGGAUGACGGUACCGGAAGAAUAAGCACCGGCUAACUACGUG